rnacentral:rRNA from 1 species
GAUGAACGCUAGCUACAGGCUUAACACAUGCAAGUCGAGGGGCAUCGGGAAGAAAGCUUGCUUUCUUUGCCGGCGACCGGCGCACGGGUGAGUAACACGUAUCCAACCUGCCCUUUACUCGGGGAUAGCCUUUCGAAAGAAAGAUUAAUACCCGAUAGCAUAAUGAUUCCGCAUGGUUUCAUUACUAAAGGAUUCCGGUAAAGGAUGGGGAUGCGUUCCAUUAGGUUGUUGGUGGGGUAACGGCCCACCAAGCCUUCGAUGGAUAGGGGUUCUGAGAGGAAGGUCCCCCACAUUGGAACUGAGACACGGUCCAAACUCCUACGGGAGGCAGCAGUGAGGAAUAUUGGUCAAUGGGCGCUAGCCUGAACCAGCCAAGUAGCGUGAAGGAUGAAGGCUCUAUGGGUCGUAAACUUCUUUUAUAUAAGAAUAAAGUGCAGUAUGUAUACUGUUUUGUAUGUAUUAUAUGAAUAAGGAUCGGCUAACUCCGUGCCAGCAGCCGCGGUAAUACGGAGGAUCCGAGCGUUAUCCGGAUUUAUUGGGUUUAAAGGGAGCGUAGGUGGACUGGUAAGUCAGUUGUGAAAGUUUGCGGCUCAACCGUAAAAUUGCAGUUGAUACUGUCAGUCUUGAGUACAGUAGAGGUGGGCGGAAUUCGUGGUGUAGCGGUGAAAUGCUUAGAUAUCACGAAGAACUCCGAUUGCGAAGGCAGCUCACUGGACUGCAACUGACACUGAUGCUCGAAAGUGUGGGUAUCAAACCAGG